rnacentral:antisense_RNA from 1 species
GGUCGUUUCUCUUCGGGCCCAACACGAGCCCAAAAGCUUCCCAUCUUCUCCCAGAAGAUUAGCGGCGGGGGAGGCGGCGGCGACCGGCGGCGACAGGGUGGCCGGAUUUGCGGUCCCGUCUCCCUCUCCUGGGCUUCCGCCACCACCCGCGGGCGCUUCUCCUCCACCGGGAAGCCUGCCGUCGCGCGACGGCGACUCCCUUCGACUGUUCGACGCAAUGCCAGGGCAGGCCUGGUGGAGCGGAGGCGGAGCCGCUUCUUCGCUGCUUGAGGCGAGGCGUUCAGGGUGUUCGGCGAAAUGCUCGAGAGUCGCUUGUCCAGUCCUGGUCGGUGGCGACUUCGGCCGUCGAAGAUCUCGUGGGCGGCGACUGUGCUUCCGCUUCGUGAGCUUCUGAAGGACGCAUACCUUUUGGUAAGGAGCAAAAGACUCGUCUCUGUGAAAAGAAACACAGCUUCUGAAGAUUUGCAAGAUCCACUUUGCAGAUACUACAUGCAAAGCAUCAUUCCGAGAGGUGCAUAUAAUUUAGAGCAAUCAUCGGCAUCGUGGUCAUGGUGUGUACAUGCUCUGGAAAACAACAUAGCACGACUGGUGGGUGAUUGGGUGGGUAAUCUGGUGCUCUCUUCUUCAAUUCUUCUUCCUGUUGACCCAAGGGCCAAGGCGUUUACUUUCUGUUAUCAAGCGUGCGUUCCGGCUUAUUUGCUCCACACGCUUGCAGUUGUUUUCCAUUCUCCCGGCUCCACUGGUGUAUCUUUGUAGACCAUGGAUUAUGACUCUUGUGUCUAUCUCUGAAUUUUGGAAGUGCUUGAAGACUUGAAGUAAGCUGCGUAGCGUGUGAGGGCUGCAGGCUGCCAGUGGGAGCUGGCUUAUCAUUUGGGACACCACAGGGGAGACUGGUUCUUGUGUAGACAUGGUCUAUGGACUAUGGAACGGACUGAAGCCACACAGAUCUUCAGGUGCAGCACAAACUGGAGAAAUCCUUCGGCCAGAACAGAAACAGCAUAGGGAACACAAGAUGAUUACAGAAGAUCGGCUGCACAAAGACCAAUUCUAGAAACAGCAUAGAGGCCAUUUCCAGUUCAGACGACUGUAGUGCUGUACUGCUGUGCUGCACGUCGUACACGUCGAAGUCUGAAGAGGAUUGCUGCACUGCAGAUCAAUCAAUGAUUUUCCAAUUUUCGUCAAAACAAGAAACCAAUGAUUUUCCAGGCUCAUGGACACGGUCUACCCAGGCACCCAUCCGUAGACGUGCAAAAUUAUGAAAAACUGAUGGCGAUCUGGCGAUGAAUGAAUGAAUGAUUCGGACCGCCGCUACGUUGUUGCUGCCGACGCGUUCGUUGGCCGUGUGUCCGUGUCUCGGUCUGCAGUCUUCAGUGUCUCAGUCCGAUCGGAAUGAAAUGGAAUGGAGGAGAUGGCGGUGUGAACUGUCCUUGGUAGUGGAGUUGUGGAUUGGCUCGUAUACGACAAAUGUAUUUGGAUAUUUGGCACUUGUUAUCGCUGGAAAAAAUAUAGUCAAGUCGUGUACGAGGAAAACUGCAUGCUACUACCAUACAUACGAAGGAUAUCAAGUUCUUGACAUUUUGAUAUGGAGCAUAGCAAAACUGUUCUAGUUCUCGUUUGAAAUGCGAGAAUGUGUUCACAAAAGGCUGAUUCAUUUUAUUUAAAAUUCACGCAAUAUUCCUCUGUUCGAAGGAAAGGUCUUGUUGUGUUUUUCUUUUUCUUUUUUUUUCUUUUCUAGUGCAGGCUGAUCUGCUGUGCUGAGUGCAGACCGUGGCAGAAGUGAUUUACUUUUCCUUGUAUAAGGGGGUGUUUAAAUCCGGGGUGUAAAGUUUUAGCGUGUCACAUCGAAUAUUAUAUAAGGUAUCGCAUGUGGCAGAGUUUACAUUACCGGUUGACCACUAAAUUUCGAACCCCAUCGGUAUCACCGUUUUCGAUAAAUUUUGAUCGGUUUUUGAU